rnacentral:rRNA from 1 species
GCGCACGCUGGCGGCAGGCCUCACACAUGCAAGUCGAACGAACUCUUCGGAGUUAGUGGCGGACGGGUGAGUAACACGUGGGAACGUGCCUUUUGGUUCGGAAUAACUCAGGGAAACUUGUGCUAAUACCGAAUGUGCCCUUCGGGGAAAAGAUUUAUCGCCAUUAGAGCGGCCCGCGUCUGAUUAGCUAGUUGGUGAGGUAACGGCUCACCAAGGCGACGAUCAGUAGCUGGUCUGAGAGGAUGACCAGCCACACUGGGACUGAGACACGGCCCAGACUCCUACGGGAGGCAGCAGUGGGGAAUCUUGCGCAAUGGGCGAAAGCCUGACGCAGCCAUGCCGCGUGAAUGAUGAAGGUCUUAGGAUUGUAAAAUUCUUUCACCGGGGACGAUAAUGACGGUACCCGGAGAAGAAGCCCCGGCUAACUUCGUG